rfam:Triticum aestivum genome assembly, contig: Triticum_aestivum_CS42_TGACv1_scaffold_097824_2AL
CAUAUACUCCCUCCGUUCGGAAAUACUUGUCUUAGAAAUGGUUGUAUCUAGAACUAAAACUAGUCUAGAUACAACCAUUUGUAGGACAAGUAUUUCCGAACGGAGGGAGUACUUA